CAGUCGCCGCGGGAAUACAGAGGGUGCGAGCGUUAAUCGGAUUUACUGGGCGUAAAGCGUGCGUAGGCGGCUUUUUAAGUCGGAUGUGAAAUCCCUGAGCUUAACUUAGGAAUUGCAUUCGAUACUGGGAAGCUAGAGUAUGGGAGAGGAUGGUAGAAUUCCAGGUGUAGCGGUGAAAUGCGUAGAGAUCUGGAGGAAUACCGAUGGCGAAGGCGGCCAUCUGGCCUAAUACUGACGCUGAGGUACGAAAGCAUGGGGAGCAAACAGGAUUAGAUACCCCUGUAGUCCCUGUCUCUUAUAC
rnacentral:rRNA from 1 species